CCUACGGGAGGCAGCAGUGGGGAAUAUUGCACAAUGGGGGAAACCCUGAUGCAGCGACGCCGCGUGAGUGAAGAAGGAUUUCGGUACGUAAAGCUCUAUCAGCAGGGAAGAAAGUGACGGUACCUGUCUCAGAAGCCCCGGCUAACUACGUGCCAGCAGCCGCGGUCAUACGUAGGGGGCAAGCGUUAUCCGGUGUUACUGGGUGUAAAGGGAGCGUAGACGGCAGCGCAAGUCUGGAGUGAAAUCCCAUGGCUUAACCUGGGAACUGCUUUGGAAACUGUGCAGCUAGAGUGCAGGAGAGGGAAGCGGAAUUCCUAGUGUAGCGGUGAAAUGCGUAGAGAUUAGGAGGAACACCAGUGGCGAAGGCGGCUUACUGGACUGUAACUGACGUUGAGGCGCGAAAGCGUGGGGAGCAAACAGGAUUAGAUACCCGAGUAGUC
rnacentral:rRNA from 1 species